AUAAAAAUAAUAUCUAUCUUCUACCCAUUUGGGAGAUAAACUCUUUAUUAGCAAAAUCUCUUUCUCUCUCUCAUAAUACAUUUUCUUCUUCUUCUUUCUUCUAGCCCUUUUGUUGGCGAACUCUCAAUCCACAUAGGUACUAUUCUCCCACUACCAUCAAGAUCACAUUUGGUUACAUAAAAGUUUUAGUCUUUAUCUUUUGAAUAUAUGUUGGAAUGUUAUCUUCAAGAAUCAAGAUAGGUUAAGCUUAUUUGAAACCUUAGGUUUGGAUUUGUGGAGAAUCUCUCUCAAACCUGUGGUAAGUUUCUUGUUCAACAUAUAUUGGUGAAAAUUUUAAGUUUGUUGUUAGAGAAUUUGAGAUUUUGAAAGCAAGAGAUUUAAUCCCAUUUUUUUAACUGGGCAGCAGUUAGUAUUUGGAGCGUAACUUUUUCUCUAAAACUCAGAUUGUAGUGUUUCAAAGUUCUGUAGAAAAAUAAGACAUAGAUCUACAAUUGUUAUGAAGAUCAAAAUGGCCAGUUUUGUUGUCUACUAUGUCAAAAGGGGGCUGAAAUAUAGGACAGAGUUGCUGCCAGAUUUUUAUUAAAAUAGUUGUGACCCAUUUAGUCCCCCUUUUGAUAUUCAUCAUGAUUUGGUUUAAACAUCACUAAAUUUCAGAUCUUAAGUAAGUGUUGAUUACGUGUUUAAGAUACAAGACACAUUCGUUCAAGCUAAGGAGCACACCUUAGAAAAAAUCGUUCUUUUCUUGGCUUAGAAGAUCUUAAAUCCCUUGAUGUCGUUUGAGCUUUAGAAAUACUAAAGCUCCAAGGUUUACACAUAAACUUGAGUGUUUCUUUCAAUUUAGUUUGUUGAGAUAUUGUAAGUGGUUAAGGUUUGGCGAAAUUUUACCUUACUUUAAAUUUGUUGUCAUAUUGACUUGGUUGCUACUUCACUAGUUUACUUGCUUUGUGGCUUGAGAAAGAAUAUCUUGAGGAAUUUUGAUUUAUUAGUGGUCAUUGAGGGUAUAAUUUUGUAAUUGAGUUAUGAAUAUGUUAAAAAUCAUAUGGGUGUCAUGUGAAGUAUUUUUGAAAGACAAUUUAACUCGCCCACACAUACGGAUUGCUUGAGCAUCAUUGCAUUCUUGUUGGGAUUUUAUCCCUCUUGUGAUAGUGACGUUGUGUAACGACCCGACCGGUCGUUUUGAGCAUUUACACUUCGCUCGGUUGUUUGAGGGUAUGAGUAGCUCCGUAUGAUGUAAUAUGACUUAUGUGAAUCGUCGGUUUUGGUUUUCAGGUUAGUCAGAAUUGAUUUGAAAGAAUGAUUCUCAGCUAGAAGCUUUAAAUUUAAAAGAGUCGACCAAGUUUGACUUUUUAUGAAUUUGAACCCGGAACGGAGUUAUGAUUAUUCCUUUAGCUCCGUUGGGUGAUUUCGAAUUUAGGAGCGCAUCCGGAUUGUGAUUCGGAGGUCAGUAGUUGAAUUUGGCUUGAAAUGGCGAAAGUUAAAAUUUUGGAAAGUUUGACUGGGAGUGGACUUUUUGAUAUCGGAUUCGGAUUGUGAUUCGGGGAAUUGGAAUAGCUUCGUUAUGUUAUUUGGGACUUGUGCACAAAAUUUGAAGUCAUUCCAAUUUGAUUUGCUAUGUUUCGGCACGAGUUAUUGAAUUUGAAAGUUCAAAGUUCAUAGAUUUCGAUUUGAGGUGCGAUUCAUCGUUUCGAUGUUGUUAUGAUUUGAGGCCUCAAGUAGGUCCGUGUUAUGUUAUUGGACUUGUUGGUAUAUUCGGGCAGGGUCCCGAGGGGCUCGCGCGUGUUUCGGAUUGAUUUCAGAUCAUUUUCUUCAAUGUUGCUAUUGCUGGUUCUGGUGUGACCGCACCUGAGGCUGGUUUGCGUAGGUGCGAGGGUCGCAGAAAUGACAAAGGGGUCGCAGGAGCGGAAAUAUUGCUGGGAGCAGUGUUCCGCAGAAGCGGAGAUUGCUCCGCAUCUGCGAAGGCGCAGAUGCGGUGAGUUGAGCACAAAAGCGGAUUGGAAACGCAGAAGCGACAAGUAGGCGCGCACCUGCGAGUGCGCAUAUGCAAGUAUUUUACCGCAGGUGCGAAGGCAGACCUCCAGUGCUUCUCUGCAGAAGCAUGUUUUUGGUCGCAAAUGUGACGCCGCAGAAGCGGCUAAUGUGUCGCAGGUGCGAAGGUGCUGGGCAGAAUGAUAAAUACAAGGGUUUGCGAUUUUGGCUUCAUUUUAACAUUUCCAAGCUCGGAUUGAGGCGAUUCUUGGAGCAAUUUUUAUCUUGUGGACUGGGGUAAGUGUUCUCUACUAAUUUUUGAUCUUAUAUCACGAAUCUACCAUCGUUUUUGGUAAUUGGAUUGUGAAUUUUAUAGAGAAAAUUGAGGGUUUUGGCCUAACGUUUCAUAAUAUGAAUUUUUGAGUUUUGAACAUCGAAUUAGAGUCGGAUUUGAGUGAAACUAGUAUGGUUGGACUCAUAAUUGAAUGGGUUGUUGUAUUUUAUAAAUUUUGUCAAGUUCCGGGGUGCGGUCCUGGGUUGGGCUUUUGGCUGGUUUUGGGCUUUUGAUUCAAGAUUUGAUCUUUUUCGAUCGGGAUUGGUUCUUUUAGCAUUGUUUGAUGUACUUGAGUUGUUUUUGGUUAGUUUCGAGCCGUUCAGAGGUCGGAACACACGAGAUGGCAUUUUGGAGCAUCGCUUGGCUUGCUCGGUGUUGGAAUUGGCUUGUUCGAGGUAAGUAACUCUU
rnacentral:lncRNA from 1 species